UACGUAGGGUGCGAGCGUUAAUCGGAAGUACUGGGCGUAAAGUGUGCGCAGGCGGCUUCGCAAGUCGAGUGUGAAAUCCCCGAGCUUAACUUGGGAAUUGCGCUCGAAACUACGGAGCUGGAGUGUGGCAGAGGAAGGUGGAAUUCCACGUGUAGCGGUGAAAUGCGUAGAGAUGUGGAGGAACACCGAUGGCGAAGGCAGCCUUCUGGGCCAACACUGACGCUCAUGCACGAAAGCGUGGGGAGCAAACAGG
rnacentral:rRNA from 1 species